AAAAGCUCAAAUUUGUAAUCUGAUACUUUCAGUAUCCGAGUUGUAAUCUCGAGAAGUAUUUUCCGCGUUGGACCGCACACAAGUCUGUUGGAAUACAGCGUCAUAGUGGUGAGAACCCCGUAUCUGGUGCGGAUGCCCAAUGCUUUGUGAUAUACUUUCGAAGAGUCGAGUUGUUUGGGAAUGCAGCUCAAAUUGGGUGGUAAAUUCCAUCUAAAGCUAAAUAUUGGCGAGAGACCGAUAGCGAACAAGUACCGUGAGGGAAAGAUGAAAAGCACUUUGGAAAGAGAGUUAACAGUACGUGAAAUUGUUGGAAGGGAAACGCUUGAAGUCAGACUUGCAUUUUGGAGUUCAACCUUUUAGGUGUAUUCUUCAAUUUCGCAGGCCAGCAUCAGUUUUUGAGAGUGGAAAAUCGUAAUUAGAAGGUAGCAGUUUCGGCUGUGUUAUAGCUUUUUACUGGAUUCACUUUUAGGGACUGAGGAACGCAGUACGCUUUUAGCAAGGUUUUCGAACCUUUCGUACUUAGGAUGCUGGUGGAAUGGCUUUAAACGACCCGUCUUGAAACA
rnacentral:rRNA from 1 species